rnacentral:lncRNA from 1 species
AUGACCAUGACCAUGAGAAGCUCUGAGGGACAGAGGCUACAGUGGUGGCUGCAGAAAGUGACCUCAAGUGUAAUGGUAGCAAUUACACCACCAAAGACAGAGGUGAGUGGACUUGGAAUCCGUGGGAGGAGAUGGUAAUAAAUACUAGCUCACAGUAGGACGCACAGGCACCAAGCUGUGUUGCAUUUUAAUAUAAAAAUAAUGAAAGUAUUUUAAAAACCAAAGUAUUUUAUUUCUUGCUAUGAAGGCUCCUAAAAUUUUGAGUAAUAAUAAAAAUCACAUAUGGGAAAAAGCUAUGUUCUAUCUUAUCUAUAAAGAAAAUUUAUUUGUGACUUAUAGGUUCAUUAGUAAGAGGUAGAUGUCAUUCUUUAUUUUUUAAACAAAAAUUACCUUUCCAAGUGUAAAAAACAGGGGUUGUCAAGUAAUAUGGAUGAUAAAAUCUUAUGAAAAAACAGUUUCCUUUAAAUUUAUGAUCAUAAAAAUGUGGAAAGAUACAAAAAAUACCUUCCCAGCAGAGUGGAAUUGGUGAGGAGUAUGUCAGAGAAAUUACUAACUUUUUCUUAAUGUGUUUAUUUCAUGCUCUCUUAAAAUGAACAUCUUUUCCUUUUUUUUUUUUUUUUUUCUGAGAUAGGGUCUCACUCUGGUCGCUCAGGCUGGACUGCAGUGGUGUGAUCUUGGCUCACUGAAGCCUCGACCUCCCGGGUUCAGGUGAUUCUCCCAUCUCAGCCUCCCCAGUAGCUGGGACUACAGGCAUGCACCACCAGGGCCAGCUAAUUUUCUUUUUUGUUUCUUUCUUUCUUUUAUUUUUUUAAAAUUUUUAGUAGAGAGAUGGGAUUUUGCCAUGUUGCCUAGGCUGGUCUUGAACUCCUGGCCUCAAGCAAUGCACCUGCCUUGGCGUCCCAAAGUGCUGGGAUUACAGGAGUGAACCAAUGUGCCUGGUCAUCUUACUUAUAUAAAUAAAAAAGAUAAUACAUUUAAAGUGAUAUUCAUUUUUACCAACAUUUUAUAUUUUCAAACACACCACAAAGUUGAAAGAAUUUUGCAGUAAAUUUUUGUAUACCUACCAUUAAUCCAUCUUCUGUUUUGAUGUAUUUCAAAGUAAAUUGUAAACAUUAGUAUACUUCCCUUCUAAUCACUUAAAUGUGUAUAUUAUUAAUUAGAAUUCUAUAUUUGUUUACAUUUUUUGAAAUGACUUUCACUAUAAAAUAUGUAUUUAUCAUAGAAAAUUGGCAAUUAGAUAAAAAAUCUGUAGAUCUAUAAAUUAGUUUUUGUUUGUACCAAAUAUUGUGCUAUGUACUUUAUUAACACCAUUUCUUUUAAUCCUUUAACAAGCCCUAAGAAGUCACAUUAUCCCCAUUUUACAAAUAAGGAGUCUGUGAGAAAAUUGCCCCAGUUCCCAGAGUGGUAAAGUUAGGAUAUGCAUCCAAGUAUGUUCAAUCCCCUUACUCUUAACUGCAUGCCAUCCUGCUAGCUUUGUGUCCACCCCACUGUGAGAUAACCACUGAUGACUCCUCUCUAAACCCUUUUCUAGGUGUAUGUAUUUCCACUAAACUGGGGCUACGUUGUAUGUGUUGUUUCAUAAUUAGUUUUUUUUCUCAUGUAUAAACCUCUUCCUUCAGCUCCUUGUUAAUGGCUGCAGAGUAUUCUGUCAAGUGAAGAUACCGUAUUUAAUGACUACUUAUUCUUGUAUAUUUUUCCAGUUUUUGCUAUUAUCAAAUCUUCUUGCAUACUACUAAUUUUAUCCUUAGGAUCAUAAGUAGAAUUGCUUACUGAGAGGUUAUGCAUAGUUUCCACAUUGUUAAUACAAGUUCCCCAAUUUGCUUUUACCAAUCUCCCCCAGGAGAAUGUGGGGAAACCUGACGAACAGGGAAACCUGACUAACAAGUUUCCCGACAUUCUACACUGACAUCAAAUAUAACUUUAAAAAAUCAUUUCUAGUUAGAUAAGCAAAAACAUGUAUGUUUUGUUUAGCAUACCUUUGAUUGUUAAUGAGGUUGAACGUAUUUUCACCUAUUUAUGUAUCAUUUAAGGUUUCCCUUUCAGAUACUGCUUGUUCAGAUUCUCAGAGUUCAUUUUUAAAUUAGUCUCUUGAAGAAUUCCAACCCAUUUCACAGUGAAGCUAAUGUUAAGACUGAAAUUUUAUUUUUCAUGCAGAGUUCACUCUUUGAGUGGUGCAGUAAAGGCAGUCACACUUGGAGUACCUCAGUGAUGGCAGGAAGGUUUAUGUUUUCCUCUUUGUGACAAGAUAAAUCUCUGUGAGAUUGCUGUAAAGGUACGGAGGAUUUUAGAAUUCAUUUGCACAGAGGUUCCGGGAGCUUCCAGUUUGACAGGAGUGGCCUUGGAAGAUUCGCCUGGGCAAACCGCAAGGGCAGAUAGUUGGCUGGUUUAGUGAUUGGCUUUGAAGCAGCACCAGAUGCUAUGGGCACCGGGAGGCUCUGGGCAUGCCCUUCAGGGGAGCAGCCGAGUAGCAGAGGAGAGCGCCGUGGGAGAACAUGGGCCACCCUGGGUGAGGACAGAAACAGGCAGAGGAAGUGAAGGAAUUCUUUGAGGAGCAGAGGAGAGAGAGCUGGUAGUUCAUCUCACUUUAUCUGAUUAAUAAUCCUCACCCCUUCUGCCUGCGCAGCUUGACUGUGAGCAAAAUCAGAAAUGUGCAGCUCAUG